rnacentral:rRNA from 1 species
GGUGAGUAGUGUAUCGGAACGUACCCAGUCGUGGGGGAUAACUAUCCGAAAGGAUAGCUAAUACCGCAUACGUCCUGAGGGAGAAAGCGGGGGACCGUAAGGCCUCGCGCGAUUGGAGCGCCGAUAUCGGAUUAGCUAGUUGGUGAGGUAAAGGCUCACCAAGGCGACGAUCCGUAGCUGGUCUGAGAGGACGACCAGCCACACUGGAACUGAGACACGGUCCAGACUCCUACGGGAGGCAGCAGUGGGGAAUUUUGGACAAUGGGGGCAACCCUGAUCCAGCCAUUCCGCGUGAGUGAAGAAGGCCUUAGGGUUGUAAAGCUCUUUCAGCCGGAAAGAAAUCGCCAUUCCUAAUAUGAGUGGUGGAUGACGGUACCGGAAGAAGAAGCACCGGCUAACUACGUGCCAGCAGCCGCAGUAAUACGUAGGGUGCGAGCGUUAAUCGGAAUUACUGGGCGUAAAGCGUGCGCAGGCGGUUUUGUAAGACAGGCGUGAAAUCCCAGGGCUCAACCUGGGAACUGCGCUUGAGACUGCAAGGCUAGAAUAUGUCAGAGGGGGGUAGAAUUCCACGUGUAGCAGUGAAAUGCGUAGAGAUGUAUAGGAAUACCAAUCGCGAAGGCAGCCCCCUUGGGCUAAUAUUGACGCUCAUGCACGAAAGCGUGGGGAGCAAACAGGAAUAGAUACCCCUGCUAGUCCACGCCCUAAACGAUGUCAUACUAGUUGUUGGUGGUAGUGAAAAUCCAUGAGUAACGCAGCUAACGCGUGAAGUAGACCGCCUGGGAGAGUACUGCUCCGCAAGUAUU